rnacentral:rRNA from 1 species
GACGUAGGGGGCCAGCGUUGUUCGGAAUUACUGGGUGUAAAGGGUUCGUAGGCGGUGCGGCAAGUUGGGAGUGAAAUCUCUGGGCUUAACCCAGAGGCUGCUUCCAAAACUGCUGUGCUUGAGUUCGGGAGAGGGAUGUGGAAUUCCAGGUGUAGCGGUGAAAUGCGUAGAUAUCUGGAGGAACACCGGUGGCGAAGGCGGCAUCCUGGACCGACACUGACGCUGAGGAGCGAAAGCCAGGGGAGCAAACGGG